rnacentral:pre_miRNA from 1 species
AACUGAAUCACCUGGGAAGCUAGCUAGAAUGCAGGUUCUGCUUUGGAAGAUUGGUGGCAGGGCCUGAGAGCCUGUAUUUCCAACACGCUCUCAGAUGAGGCUGAU